rnacentral:rRNA from 1 species
UACAGAGGUCCCAAGCGUUGUUCGGAUUCACUGGGCGUAAAGGGUGCGUAGGCGGUCGGGUAAGUUUGAUGUGAAAUCUCCGAGCUUAACUCGGAAAUGGCAUUGAAUACUAUUCGGCUAGAGAGUCGGAGGGGGGACUGGAAUACUUGGUGUAGCAGUGAAAUGCGUAGAUAUCAAGUGGAACACCAGUGGCGAAGGCGAGUCCCUGGACGAUUUCUGACGCUGAGGCACGAAAGCUAGGGGAGCAAACAGG